rnacentral:lncRNA from 1 species
UUCGCGGAGACGCCACCCACAGCACGACGCCGUCGCCCACGCACAGCACCACGCCGUCGCCGUUGAGACGCCACCACCUAGCGCCAGCAGUGUUUCUGGGUUCUCCCACUCAGCGCCACUAUCAUCAGUUCAACCCACUCCCAGCACGGCAGCACCUCCGAGUCUCCCAGUCAGCCUUCCUCCCAAGUCAACAUGGAGCCCGAGCCACCGAUUCAG